GUGUGUAUCUGUGAAUUUCUCAGUAUAUGUCUUUAUGUCAUUGUGUCUGCCAGUGUGUGUGUGUGUGUAUCUGUGAAUGUCUCAGUAUAUGUCUGUAUGUCAUUGUGUCUGCCAGUGUGUGUGUGUCAAUGUGUGUGUGUGUAUCUGUGAAUGUCUCAGUAUAUGUCUGUAUGUCAUUGUGUCUGCCAGUGUGUGUCAAUGUGUGUGUGUGUGUAUCUGUG